rnacentral:tRNA from 1 species
GGGGGCAGAAGGGGCCUGGUGGCCCCCCCGGUCUUCAAAACCGACGUGGGCGGUGGAGCCGCCCUGGUGUGUUCGAUCCGCACCUGUCCCCGCCA